rfam:Aedes albopictus isolate Foshan contig85355, whole genome shotgun sequence.
UGCCCAGCAACUUCUAUCCCUACCUCCUCCCUACCUCCACGCGGUACCGGCCGGAAACUAUGAGCAACCUUAGGGAAGAUCGGGUAACCAACCCCGGUGGGAACUUUGGUCGUAGGCUGACAGGGAAGG